GCUCCAGAUAAAGCUGCCCACAUGUCCCAUGUGCUUGGUUGCAUUUAGCUCUGCCUUCUGCAUGCAGAUUAUACCUGCAUCAUGCAAGGAAAAUGCAAUUCCGUUACUGGAGGGCCUGAAUGAGAUCCCCAAGUCUUAUUUGUAAUUGAACAGCCAUUUCUGAAUAUAAAACCUGGAUGAGCAACCUGGACAUAUACAGAAGAUCCACAGUACAGACAGCCCACCUUGAAGAUGAAUGUUUGUAGGGGAUUAUCUGCAUUACAGCUUCAAGACAGUAGAUUCUAUACAGAUAAAUCUUGAUGAUGGACAAAAGCUUUACCAUGCAAGCAUCUCACAAGGAGGACUAGGAUAAUAUUUAAAAUCAAAAGGCUAUUGCAGAAAGCAGUAACUUUCUGUCACUGUCCUGCAUCUAUCUGGUUUGAGUUUACUGCGUCCAUACAGUUGCCACAGUAGAAAUGACUUCUGAAAAGAGAUUUGGAACUAUGAGCAGUAGUGGCGUUUUGGGGACUGUGCCUGCUGUCAUGAAAGCGUGAGGUGGGUGAAGGGGACCCAAAAGCUGGAGAAGAAUAAGAAAAGAUGCUACAGUGCUGAAGAUGAGAGCACGACAGUUCUAGGGGAAAAGAGAUGAUGAUCAGAGAAGACUUACAUCAGAACGUUUUAUAUUCAAGAAAGACUUCGGAAGAGAUGCAAUACUUGGAAAAUGUAAAUGAAAUUCUUAUAAAAAUCUGUAGAGCUCUACAUCAAUAAUCACUCCUU